rnacentral:lncRNA from 1 species
ACGAGCAAGAUGGAAAAGCAUCAGAUAAUCCAAAAGUUACAUUAAUAUUAAAAUCACCAAAGUAAAAGAAGCUGAAUAAUGUAGAGCAUUAAAUUUGAACUGAGAAUAUUAUUGUCAAAAAUGAUCUUUUUCAUAAAAAUAAAUUUUAUGCCCCUCUCUCCUAAGAAAAUAGAAAUGCUAUUUCUGAGCACAAGCAACUCCAUGAACCCUAUCCUGGUUUCUCAAUAACUCCGACCACUAGAAGGAGACACGGCCAAUUUCAGAGCUGGGAUGAGGAACCUUCAACUGGGAAAAACAAGUUAACUGAUAUCAAAUACAACAAUAUAAAAACAAUUGAAUUCUGGUUAAAAAAAGAAGAGCUACAAAAGAUAUUUUGAUUAAGCAAUGAAAAAUUAAAAUAUGGACCGGAUACCAAAUGACAUAAGGGCACUAUAAAUGAUGUUCUUAGAUACAGUAAUGACACUGGAACUGGGAGAAUAUCUUCAUUCCUGUGACAUGCUUUGAGAGGUCUCUAGGGGUCAAUUGUCAUCUUUACAAUUUACCUUGAAGAGGUUCUAGAAACAUUAUAUGUAUUUAUGCAGAUAUACUCCAUAUAACAUUGCAAAAUGUUAGUAAUUUUGAAUAUAAAUGGUAACAUGGGUCUCCAGUAUUAUUUUUAUCAAAUUUUUGGAAAGUGUGAAAAUGGCCAUAUUAAAAAAUUGGGGAACUACUAGUAUUAAAACCACAUUAAUUUCUCAAUGCUUUUAUUAAAUUAUCACAGCACCAUAUCAUUAUACCAAAUUAUAACAAAAUUAUAACAAAAAAUGUAAGUUA